rnacentral:rRNA from 3 species
UACGGAGGAUCCAAGCGUUAUCCGGAUUUAUUGGGUUUAAAGGGUGCGUAGGCGGCCUAUUAAGUCAGGGGUGAAAGACGGUGGCUCAACCAUCGCAGUGCCUUUGAUACUGAUGGGCUUGAUUGCAGCUGAGGUAGGCGGAAUGUGACAAGUAGCGGUGAAAUGCAUAGAUAUGUCACAGAACACCGAUUGCGAAGGCAGCUUACUAAAGUGUAAAUGACGCUGAGGCACGAAAGCGUGGGGAUCAAACAGG